CCUACGGGAGGCAGCAGGGAGGAAUAUUGGUCAAUGGCCGGAAGGCUGAACCAGCCAAGCCGCGUGAGGGAGGAAGGCGCAGAGCGUCGCAGACCUCUUUUGCCGGGGGACAAAAGGCCGGACGCGUCCGGUCCUGAGGGUACCCGGAGAAAAAGCAUCGGCUAACUCCGGGCCAGCAGCCGCGGUAAUACGGAGGAUGCGAGCGGUAGCCGGAUUCAUUGGGUUUAAAGGGUGCGCAGGCGGGCCUUUAAGCCGGCGGGGAACUCGCGGGGCUCCACCCCGCCGAGCCGUCGGAACUGGGGGCCUUGAGUGCGGCGGCGGCAUGCGGACUGCGCGGUGUCGCGGU
rnacentral:rRNA from 1 species